UGUAACUGUUGGCUGAUACUUAUUAAGACGUCUAUAAAAAUGGCUAAUAGUUGCAUACAUUCUGGAUAUUUUCGCCUCUCAGGCUGUACGCUGUAAAUUCUUUUUCUUGUAUGCUAUUUUUUGUCAAGUAUCAUAUUUCAUGUUUAUAUGGCUCAUGAUCUGAAUGAUCAGAGGAUAAUGGCCAUUCGGUUUUCAUAAAUUUGUCUCGGAAAGUAACAGCAUAAUGCGUCACAUUAUGAGUCAACACCUGGCAAAAGCUCUUGUGCUGUUACACAACCUUCCCUGGAACAAAAUGUCUUUCACAACACAUUGCUGGGUCACAUGACGGAGACAUAUAAAACUUGAUUCCGGUAAUUGUGCCUGUGGACACUUCACUUGUUUCACUGAAACCUAACUUUAAACAUAGAUAAUGAUUCUGUAUUCCAAAACCCGUAAACAUUAAAAGGGUUAAAAAUG